rnacentral:rRNA from 1 species
GAUGAACGCUAGCUACAGGCUUAACACAUGCAAGUCGAGGGGUAACGAGAGGGAAGCUUGCUUUCCUUGUUGACGACCGGCGCACGGGUGAGUAACGCGUAUCCAACCUGCCCCCAACUAAGGAAUAACCUUGCGAAAGUAAGACUAAUACCUUAUAAUUUCCUCAGAUGACAUCUGACGAGGAAUAAAGAUUUAUCGGUUGUGGAUGGGGAUGCGUCUGAUUAGCUUGUUGGCGGGGUAACGGCCCACCAAGGCAACGAUCAGUAGGGGUUCUGAGAGGAAGGUCCCCCACAUUGGAACUGAGACACGGUCCAAACUCCUACGGGAGGCAGCAGUGAGUAAUAUUGGUCAAUGGGCGGAAGCCUGAACUAGCCAAGUAGCGUGCAGGAUGACGGCCCUAUGGGUUGUAAACUGCUUUUAUACAGGAAUAAAGUUAGCCACGUGUGGUUAUUUGUAGGUACUGUAUGAAUAAGGACCGGCUAAUUCCGUGCCAGCCGCCGCCGUAA